rnacentral:rRNA from 1 species
AUGAACGCUAGCGACAGGCCUAACACAUGCAAGUCAGGGGCAGCACAAGGAGCAAUCUGAGGUGGCGACCGGCGCACGGGUGAGUAACACGUAUGCAACCUGCCUGUAAGCGGGGAAUAACCCGUUGAAAGAACGGACUAAUACCGCAUAAUACUAAAUUACUGCAUGGUAAUUUAUUUAAACAUUUAUGGCUUACAGAUGGGCAUGCGCAUGAUUAGCUAGUUGGAGAGGUAACGGCUCCCCAAGGCAACGAUCAUUAGGGGUUCUGAGAGGAAGGUCCCCCACACUGGUACUGAGACACGGACCAGACUCCUACGGGAGGCAGCAGUGAGGAAUAUUGGUCAAUGGACGAGAGUCUGAACCAGCCAAGUCGCGUGCAGGAAGAUGUCCUAAUGGAUUGUAAACUGCUUUUGCAGGGGAAUAAAGUGCAUCACGUGUGAUGUUUUGUAUGUACUCUGCGAAUAAGGAUCGGCUAACUCCGUGCCAGCCGCAGC